rnacentral:rRNA from 1 species
GAUCCUGGCUCAGGAUGAACGCUAGCGGCAGGCCUAACACAUGCAAGUCGAGGGGCAUCGGGAUUGAAGCUUGCUUCAAUUGCCGGCGACCGGCGCACGGGUGCAUAACGCGUAUGUAACCUAUCUAUAACAGGGGCAUAACACUGAGAAAUUGGUACUAAUUCCCCAUAAUAUUCGGAGAGGCAUCUCUCCGGGUUGAAAACUCCGGUGGUUAUAGAUGGACAUGCGUUGUAUUAG